UUAAACCCCUUCCCCAUGAUCCAACUGAACACUGAACGCAACAUUGUCAAAUUCUCGAUCAAUCGGAAAGUCCUUAAAAUUGAUCCGAACAUCAACGAGAACAUCACCGCCGCUGAAAUCUCCCAUCUCUUUACUCCGCUCGCUCUUUCUCUCUCUCUCCUACCCGGGAAAAUUUCGUGGGUUUGCAUUUUAAGCACACUGUCCUGGAUUUUGCUUCAAAUCCGCCGCUCCGAUGCACUGAAAGGAUUUCGAGUUUCUCAAAUUCACUGCUUUACUCCCUAUCUUACAACUUCGCUCCAAACAUUCUCUGCGGCUCAUCCCCAAAUCACAACUUUGAGUCCCAUUGAGUCGCAGCUAGGGUUUAACCAGCUCAAAGCGUCUGGCCCCCUCUAAACAAAACCCUAAUUUUCAAAUUCAACUGGGUGAUCCUCUUUGAGAAUGCUUUUAUUUAGAUGGGUUUUUGAUUUCUAGGAUUCAGAGUUCCCGGGCUGGUCAAUGGGUGCCCGAACGAGCAACCGUAAGCGCGAUGACGAGUACUUGAGCUUUAAUCACACCUAUGCAUCUCAGAAUUCUUCAGAUUUUCACAUCUCAAAGAGACCGAGAUUCUCAUCCAUUGACAAGACCCCGGCCCGACCCAUUGUAUCCUCGAAUAGCACCGUUGCGAGACUUUCGCGGUACCCCCAAGCAACCCCUCGGCUGGGUAGAGAAGUCCACGCCCCUUGCAGAAUACUUAAUUACGGGUUUUUCUGGACUUGUUUGAGUCGGAACUUAGGGCGGAGGACUAGCGGGGUUUAUAAAAAGAAGGAGACCGUUGAUGAAAUGGGCAAUAUUUUGAGUGUCAAGUACGAUAAGGCAAAGAAUAGUGCACUGCGAACGCUUCGGUACCUGACAAAGGAGAAGGAGGUGAUCGUAGUAAAUACGGAUAAUGAGAAGGGUGGAGUGUCCGAAGAUUCAAGUGUUGAGGAAGUUGAGGUCGUGGAAGAUGGCUUAGAAGGGCGGUCCGCGGCGUCGGAACACGGGGAGGUUUUUAAUGGGGCCGUGGCCAAUGUGCAGGAAUUGGAUGCCAAGGUUUUGGAUCAUGGGCUCUUGCCAUCAUCGUCUUCGGCGGCGUCACACUUGACGAAUGGGAAUUUAAGAGUGAACGAUGCCGAUAAAAUGUUGGAUUCUCUGAAGCUGAAUUCUGGGCGGGAUAUGAGCGUCUCUGCAUUUAAGAAGUUACUCGAGUUUACGGAAAGGCGUACUCCGAAAUUGAGAAACUUGAAUUUUGAGAUUGAGUUACAUGAGGAGCGUAGGUCUAUGCUUCAACAAUUGCGUCCGGCAAAGAAACCCGUCCAGGAUUUACCGCGAGAACCUUUCCUCCCUCUUACAGAGAAGGAAGAGGCUAUGUUUGAACGUGCAUUUAACUCCACUAGGCGGUUAGUCACUCAUGAGAACUCAAACAUUGAGAUCACGGGAGAAAUUCUGCAGUGCCUUAGACCAGGGGCAUGGUUGAAUGAUGAGGUCAUAAACGUGUACCUUGAGUUGCUGAAAGAGAGAGAAAACAGAGAGCCGCAAAAGUUUUUAAGGUGCCAUUUCUUCAACACAUUUUUCUACAAAAAGUUAAUAAGUGGGAGGAAUGGCUAUGAUUAUAAAUCUGUCAGAAGAUGGACAAGCCAAAGGAAAUUGGGAUAUGGCCUCAUUGAGUGUGACAAAAUAUUCGUCCCUAUCCAUAGAGAGAUACAUUGGUGCUUGGCAGUUAUAAAUAGGAAAGACAAGAAGUUUCAGUAUCUUGAUUCGCUAAGAGGGAUGGAUACCCAAGUGCUGAAAGUACUGGCUAGAUAUUUUGUGGAUGAAGUGAAGGAUAAGAGUGGAAAAGAUGUCAAUAUAAGUUCCUGGAAACAAGAAUUUGUUGAAGACCUUCCUGAACAGGAGAAUGGGUUUGAUUGUGGCAUGUUUAUGAUCAAAUAUGCUGACUUUUAUAGCAGAGACAUUGGCCUCUGUUUCAGCCAGGAACACAUGCCCUAUUUUCGGCAGAGGACUGCAAAGGAGAUUCUCACAUUAAGAGCUGACUAAUUGAAAACGUCAGCCUGCUGCUUUAGAAAUAUGCUAUUGCACCCAUUUGGAAUUAGGAAUUUAGAAAACACUACUCAUCAUUUUUUUUUUACAAGUAGAAAACACUUCACAUCAUUGAGUGAUGAGUAUGAAGUCAGGACCUGGGUGAUUGCCAUGCGGUAUCCUGGUGUGAGCUGACUUCCUAACGACAUCACUGGUGGCAUGAGUCUAAAGUGUUACCAUACAAUAGAGCCAAUCUUUUCAAGUGUUACUUUGCAAGUGCUAGGAUGUGUUGGUAGUGUUUCCCUUGGGAUAUAUUAUAAUGGGUUGCCGUCAGCGAGAACUCGUGUGGUCGGACUUGUCAAGCAGUCUUUGUUCAAAUAACUCAUUCCCAUGCCAGUGGCAAUGGACCAGUUAGAGUUGCUUUCUGGGGUGUUCCUUUUAUGCAAUGGACCAUUUACCUCUGCAGAGAUAUGAUAUGGACUGUGGCACUAAAGUCUAAAACACUAAUUUUGUUAUGUAGCAAACAACUUAUGAAUGAGGCUAGAUCAAUCAUUGUUAGUUUUUGCAAGGUUUAA